rnacentral:rRNA from 1 species
AACGAACGCUGGCGGCGCGCCUAAUACAUGCAAGUCGAGCGAGAAGACGUAGCAAUACGUUUGUAAAGCGGCGAACGGGUGAGGAAUACAUGGGUAACCUACCCUCGAGUGGGGAAUAACUAGCCGAAAGGUUAGCUAAUACCGCGUACGCUCCUUGGACUUCGGUUCAGGGAGGAAAGCGAUACCGUGGGUAUCGCGCUCUUGGAUGGGCUCAUGUCCUAUCAGCUUGUUGGUGAGGAACGGCUCACCAAGGCUUCGACGGGUAGCUGGUCUGAGAGGACGAUCAGCCACACUGGCACUGCGACACGGGCCAGACUCCUACGGGAGGCAGCAGUAAGGAAUAUUGCGCAAUGGGCGAAAGCCUGACGCAGCGACGCCGCGGUGGGGGAUGAAGGUC